rnacentral:rRNA from 1 species
GAUCAUGGCUCAGGACGAACGCUGGCGGCGCGCCUAACACAUGCAAGUCGAACGGAGCUACCUUUUCGGAAGUUUUCGGAUGGAAGAGGAAGUAGCUUAGUGGCGAACGGGUGAGUAACACGUGAGGAACCUGCCUUAAAGAGGGGGACAACAGUUGGAAACGACUGCUAAUACCGCAUAAGCCCACAGUGCCGCAUGGCACAGGGGGAAAAGGAGAAAUCCGCUUUAAGAUGGACUCGCGUCCAAUUAG